GUCUAUGGCCAUGCCACCCUGAACAAGCCCAAUCCUGUCUGAUCUCAGAAGUUAAGCAGGGUCGGGCCUAGUUAGUACUUGGAUGGGAGACCACCUAGGAAGAUCUGGUGCUGUAGGCA
rnacentral:rRNA from 1 species